rnacentral:rRNA from 1 species
GUGCCAGCCGCCGCGGUAAUACGGAGGGUGCAAGCUUUCUUCGGACUUCCUGGGUUUAAAGGGUGCGUAGGCGGUUAAAUAAGUUGUCAGUGAAAGGCUACGGCUCAACUGUAGUAGUGCUGGCGAUACUGUAUAACUGAGAACAUGGGAGGGGUACCUGGAAUGUGUGGUGUAGCGGUGAAAUGCGUAGAUAUCACACAGAACACCGGAGGCAAAGGCGGGGUACUAGACCAUAGUUGACGCUGAGGCACGAAAGCGUGGGGAUCAAACAGGAUUAGAUACCCUGGUAGUCCACGCCCUAAACGAUGAUCACUAGAUAUUGGCGACAGACAGUCAGUGUCCAAGCGAAAGUGAUAAGUGAUCCACCUGGGGAAUACGGCCGCAAGGUUAAAACUUAAAGGAAUUGACGG